rnacentral:rRNA from 1 species
GGGCCCGCACAAGCGGUGGAGCAUGUGGUUUAAUUCGAUGCAACGCGAAAAACCUUACCAGGCCUUGACAUCCUGAGAAUUCGGUAGAGAUACCUUAGUGCCUUCGGGAACUCAGUGACAGGUGUUGCAUGGCUGUCGUCAGCUCGUGUCGUGAGAUGUUGGGUUAAGUCCCGUAACGAGCGCAACCCUUAUCCUUAUUUGCCAGCACGUAAUGGUGGGAACUCUAAGGAGACUGCCGGUGACAAACCGGAGGAAGGAGAGGAUGACGUCAAGUCAUCAUGGCCCUUACGGCCUGGGCUACACACGUGCUACAAUGGAAAGUACAGAGGGCAGCGAUGCCGCGAGGUGGAGCAAA